UGUAUACUCGAUUCUGACCAAACUAAGCCUACUGAUGUAUAUUUUGCUCUAGGAGGCUUAGUUUGGUCAGAAUUGAGUAUGCA